GACGAACGCUGGCGGCGUGCCUAAUACAUGCAAGUCGAACGCAGUGGGGACGGGUGAGUAACACGUUGGUAACCUCCCAUCAGAGGGGAUAACCCUUUGAAACAGGUGCUAAACCGAUACUGAUGGAUGGAGCCGCGAUGCAUUAGCUAGUUGGUGAGGUAACGGCUCACCAAGGCCACGAUGCAUAGCCGGUCUGAGAGGGUGAUCGGCCACACUGGGACGGAGACACGGCCCAGACUCCUACGGGAGGCAGCAGUGGGGAAUAUUGGGCAAUGGACGAAAGUCUGACCGAGCCAUGCCGCGUGAGUGAAGAAGGUUUUCGGAUCGUAAAGCUCUGUUGUUAGAGAAGCGGUAUCUACCCAGAAAGCAACGGCUAACUACGUGCCAGCAGCCGCGGUAAUUC
rnacentral:rRNA from 1 species